UACGAAGGGGGCUAGCGUUGCUCGGAAUCACUGGGCGGAAAGGGUGCGUAGGCGGGUCUUUAAGUCAGGGGUGAAAUCCUGGAGCUCAACUCCAGAACUGCCUUUGAUACUGAAGAUCUUGAGUCCGGGAGAGGUGAGUGGAACUGCGAGUGUAGAGGUGAAAUUCGUAGAUAUUCGCAAGAACACCAGUGGUGAAGGCGGCUCACUGGCCCGGUACUGACGCUGAGGCACGAAAGCGUGGGGAGCAAACAGG
rnacentral:rRNA from 1 species